rnacentral:rRNA from 1 species
GACGAACGCUGGCGGCAGGCCUAACACAUGCAAGUCGAACGCUCCAGCAAUGGAGAGUGGCAGACGGGUGAGUAACGCGUGGGAACCUUCCCUAUGGUUCGGAAUAGCCCAGGGAAACUUGGGGUAAUACCGGAUAAGCCCUUCGGGGGAAAGAUUUAUCGCCAUUGGAUGGGCCCGCGUCGGAUUAGCUAGUUGGGGGGGUAACGGCUCACCAAGGCGACGAUCCGUAGCUGGUCUGAGAGGAUGAUCAGCCACACUGGGACUGAGACACGGCCCAGACUCCUACGGGAGGCAGCAGUGGGGAAUAUUGGACAAUGGGCGCAAGCCUGAUCCAGCCAUGCCGCGUGAGUGACGAAGGCCUUAGGGUUGUAAAGCUCUUUUGGCGGGGAAGAUAAUGACGGUACCCGCAGAAUAAGCUCCGGCUAACUUCGUGCCAGCAGCCGCGGUAACAC